CUGAAACAGCUUUAUGGCUCUCCAGCCUGCUUUUAUAUCAUUCCAGGUAUAUCAAAAAGCAUGGUCAGUUCUUAGAUCAAAGACAUGUAAUCAAGCGAAGUCGUAAACAAGAUCACACAAGGAAGUAAUCAAGUAAAGUGGUAAGCAAAGGGUCACACAAGGCAGUAAUUCAGCAAAGCAGUAAGCAAGCCCCGUGGUUCCUCUUUCUAAAAUUCUUAUCUGAGCCUACUUCCUUGUCCAAGCCCAGUGACAAAUGCCAAAUUCCUAGAAGCUGCGCUAAAAGCUCUCAAUAGGACAGAGGGCAGGGAAUAAGACAGGAGAUAGAGGAGGAGGGAGAAGAACUUAAGGGAGAGAGAAGACAAAGGACUGACACUGGAUGGAGAGGAGGCAGGCGCAGCCCAUAGGCAAAUGGCAGUUUACUAAGAGAUGUAAAAUAUAGCGAUGCUUCAGAGAGAAAAGAAGACAGGAGGAAGACCAGGAGUGGGGGAAGAGGAAAAACACACGUCUGUUGGUGGGGGAAGACCAGAGAGCUCUGUCAUUGAUAAUUGUUCUUAUAUAGGUCUUCAAGCAGAAGGUGUGGCCCAGAUUAAAGAUGUGUACCACCAUGCCUGGAUCUAGGACUUGUUUUGUCCCAGGAUGACCUUGAACUCAGAGAUCUCCUUGCCUUAGUUUCCUGAGAUUAAAGGUGUGUACUAUUUUUCCGGGGCCUACUACUAUGUAGUGAGAAUAGAAAUAGCUGGGUCAUUUAAAGCAUCUAACACUUGACUACUGUCAUGGUUAAUCUUGAUUGUCGGCUUGAUGGAAUCUGGAAUCAACUAAGGGUGCCAUACUGGGAGGAUCUGGAAGGAGACUUCCAGAAAGAGUUAGUGAGAGGAGAAGACCCUCCUGCAGAGUUGCAGUACCAUGUGGCCUCAAUAGGAUGACUGAAGACAAACAGCACUCCUUGCUUGCCUAUCUUUGCUUCUUGCUGGCGAGUCUGUGCCCCUCGCUGCUGUGCCAACAUUCUCUACUGACAUUAGAUGCCAAGUUUUUCAGCCUUACGAUGUGAAUGAAGGGCAGCGCCUCUCCAGGAAUCUUCAAGGCCCUUUCACUAAACUGAGAAUGCAAAGACAUCCAGCUUCUUAGACUGAGCUGCAACCAGGUCCCCAGCCUCUCCAGCGACUGUUGGACUACCUAGACCCUGUUGGGCAAGCCAAUCUUGUGAAUCAUGGUUUAUUCCAGAUGUGGCUGUCUACGUUGUAUCUCUUCUGCUCUGCUGGGGAGCCUGCUUAGAGGCUUCCCAAACUCUCUGGCACUCCCCAGCUUGUUUUAAAAGUUGCUUCUAUUAGGUUUUCUUCACACAAGAUGUUUACACAUGUUUAAAUAUAAUCUCCUCAUGUGGAGUGCCAUGCCACGAGCAAUCGCCAUUAUAAGAUGGCGCUGGCUUCCGCUGUGCCUAACUAGUAAAC